rnacentral:lncRNA from 1 species
AGUAUUUUUACUAGUCAUUAGCAACUUUGUGGUAACUAAUAGGUGGUAAUAUGUAGUGUGGACGGUUCUGUAAUUUAAACAUUUAUUUGCUAGCAUAUAUUCACCUUCAGAGGGGAAAAAAGCAACAAACAAUAUUUAGUGAAGAGUAAGAUUGAGCUUUAUCAUUCACUAGAAGGUCAUAAAUAAUGGGAUUUCAAGUAACAUGGAAACCUCUGAGACCCGUCUAACUUGAACAAUUCUUAUAAUGUAGGACCCUUCUAAGGUCACUCUGGAACACCAGUAACUUUGGGCAUCUUUAAAUCACAGUAUUGUAAUUCUCACAACCAUGAGAAACAGAAAGCCUCGGAGUUCUAGCAGUCAUGUGAUAUCCCAAAAAGUGCAUUAGCCAAAAACAUUUAAAUAAAUAAACUACUACUCUUCAGGCUCUAGCAUUCUGCAGCAACUGAGACUCAAAUAUUCAGCACUAGCAGUGCCAGGCUUUGUUAAGCUGAAAAUUCAUCUGGAGUAUUGCUGGCACAAUGUGCUGUAAAAUUAUUAGUAGGAAAACUAGAAGGAAGGAUGUACAAAUCAAAGCUAAGAGAGGAAAGUCUGAGAAGCACAAGACCCAAUCAAGACCCUGUUUCAAGUCCUAGAGAGAGAAGAUUUCAUACUGCUUCUCCUACAGGGUCAACUUUGAAAUUCUGAAUCCAAAGAACAUGGAAAAGUUUACCUAGUCUCCUCCAAAGACAGAAAUAAAAUAGUAAAAACUGACCAACUUAUACCAUCUCUUUCAUUUCACUGUCUGAAAAAUCAAAGUAGC